rnacentral:rRNA from 1 species
CCUUUUGUAUAAUGGGUCAGCGACUUAUAUUCUGUAGCAAGGUUAACCGAAUAGGGGAGCCGAAGGGAAACCGAGUCUUAACUGGGCGUUAAGUUGCAGGGUAUAGACCCGAAACCCGGUGAUCUAGCCAUGGGCAGGUUGAAGGUUGGGUAACACUAACUGGAGGACCGAACCGACUAAUGUUGAAAAAUUAGCGGAUGACUUGUGGCUGGGGGUGAAAGGCCAAUCAAACCGGGAGAUAGCUGGUUCUCCCCGAAAGCUAUUUAGGUAGCGCCUCGUGAAUUCAUCUCCGGGGGUAGAGCACUGUUUCGGCAAGGGGGUCAUCCCGACUUACCAACCCGAUGCAAACUGCGAAUACCGGAGAAUGUUAUCACGGGAGACACACGGCGGGUGCUAACGUCCGUCGUGAAGAGGGAAACAACCCAGACCGCCAGCUAAGGUCCCAAAGUCAUGGUUAAGUGGGAAACGAUGUGGGAAGGCCCAGACAGCCAGGAUGUUGGCUUAGAAGCAGCCAUCAUUUAAAGAAAGCGUAAUAGCUCACUGGUCGAGUCGGCCUGCGCGGAAGAUGUAACGGGGCUAAACCAUGCACCGAAGCUGCGGCAGCGACGCUUAUGCGUUGUUGGGUAGGGGAGCGUUCUGUAAGCCUGUGAAGGUGUACUGUGAGGUAUGCUGGAGGUAUCAGAAGUGCGAAUGCUGACAUAAGUAACGAUAAAGCGGGUGAAAAGCCCGCUCGCCGGAAGACCAAGGGUUCCUGUCCAACGUUAAUCGGGGCAGGGUGAGUCGACCCCUAAGGCGAGGCCGAAAGGCGUAGUCGAUGGGAAACAGGUUAAUAUUCCUGUACUUGGUGUUACUGCGAAGGGGGGACGGAGAAGGCUAUGUUGGCCGGGCGACGGUUGUCCCGGUUUAAGCGUGUAGGCUGGUUUUCCAGGCAAAUCCGGAAAAUCAAGGCUGAGGCGUGAUGACGAGGCACUACGGUGCUGAAGCAACAAAUGCCCUGCUUCCAGGAAAAGCCUCUAAGCAUCAGGUAACAUCAAAUCGUACCCCAAACCGACACAGGUGGUCAGGUAGAGAAUACCAAGGCGCUUGAGAGAACUCGGGUGAAGGAACUAGGCAAAAUGGUGCCGUAACUUCGGGAGAAGGCACGCUGAUAUGUAGGUGAAGCGACUUGCUCGUGGAGCUGAAAUCAGUCGAAGAUACCAGCUGGCUGCAACUGUUUAUUAAAAACACAGCACUGUGCAAACACGAAAGUGGACGUAUACGGUGUGACGCCUGCCCGGUGCCGGAAGGUUAAUUGAUGGGGUUAGCGCAAGCGAAGCUCUUGAUCGAAGCCCCGGUAAACGGCGGCCGUAACUAUAACGGUCCUAAGGUAGCGAAAUUCCUUGUCGGGUAAGUUCCGACCUGCACGAAUGGCGUAAUGAUGGCCAGGCUGUCUCCACCCGAGACUCAGUGAAAUUGAACUCGCUGUGAAGAUGCAGUGUACCCGCGGCAAGACGGAAAGACCCCGUGAACCUUUACUAUAGCUUGACACUGAACAUUGAGCCUUGAUGUGUAGGAUAGGUGGGAGGCUUUGAAGUGUGGACGCCAGUCUGCAUGGAGCCGACCUUGAAAUACCACCCUUUAAUGUUUGAUGUUCUAACGUUGACCCGUAAUCCGGGUUGCGGACAGUGUCUGGUGGGUAGUUUGACUGGGGCGGUCUCCUCCUAAAGAGUAACGGAGGAGCACGAAGGUUGGCUAAUCCUGGUCGGACAUCAGGAGGUUAGUGCAAUGGCAUAAGCCAGCUUGACUGCGAGCGUGACGGCGCGAGCAGGUGCGAAAGCAGGUCAUAGUGAUCCGGUGGUUCUGAAUGGAAGGGCCAUCGCUCAACGGAUAAAAGGUACUCCGGGGAUAACAGGCUGAUACCGCCCAAGAGUUCAUAUCGACGGCGGUGUUUGGCACCUCGAUGUCGGCUCAUCACAUCCUGGGGCUGAAGUAGGUCCCAAGGGUAUGGCUGUUCGCCAUUUAAAGUGGUACGCGAGCUGGGUUUAGAACGUCGUGAGACAGUUCGGUCCCUAUCUGCCGUGGGCGCUGGAGAACUGAGGGGGGCUGCUCCUAGUACGAGAGGACCGGAGUGGACGCAUCACUGGUGUUCGGGUUGUCAUGCCAAUGGCACUGCCCGGUAGCUAAAUGCGGAAGAGAUAAGUGCUGAAAGCAUCUAAGCACGAAACUUGCCCCGAGAUGAGUUCUCCCUGACCCUUUAAGGGUCCUGAAGGAACGUUGAAGACGACGACGUUGAUAGGCCGGGUGUGUAAGCGCAGCGAUGCGUUGAGCUAACCGGUACUAAUGAACCGUGAGGCUUAACCUU